UCCUGUGCCGUCUGUUGGUACAAACUGUGGAAUUGAACCAUGGGAUUCAGGAGUGACAUCAGGAUUGGGGAGUGUCCGAGUGCCCGAGGAGUUGAAGCUUCCUCAUGCUUGCUGUGUCGGGAUCGCUUCCCAGACCCUCCUCAGUGUGCUUAAUCCAACUGACCGCUGGCUGCAAGUCAGCAUUGGGGUCCUCAGCAUUAGUGUUAAUGGUGAAAAGUGACCAUUUGAACAUUGGUGAGUGGAGAGGGGGGAUAUAUGGUCAGCAGCUGUUUUGAAAUGUCCCAGUUUUACGACUGUUACUUGUGAAUCAGUAUUGGUGGAUGCUUCCCUCGUGCCUCUUAGUGGCCAUCGUCUGCCUGGUGGAUCUUUCAACAUAUCGUUGUUUAGUUUUCAAGAAUAAAGCCAUCAUAAGACCUCAUGCCACAGAAGAGAUAAAAGUGCUUUUUAUACCAUCCAGUCCUGGGGUUUUCAGAUGCACAUUCAGUGUUGCU
rnacentral:lncRNA from 1 species